UACGUAGGGGGCGAGCGUUGUCCGGAAUGACUGGGCGUAAAGGGUACGUAGGCGGCCAGGUAAGUCAGAUGUGAAAGGCAUAGGCUCAACCUGUGUAAGCAUUUGAAACUGUCUGGCUUGAGUUAAGGAGAGGAAAGUGGAAUUCCUGGUGUAGCGGUGAAAUGCGUAGAUAUCAGGAGGAAUACCAGUGGCGAAGGCGACUUUCUGGACUUAAACUGACGCUGAGGUACGAAAGCGUGGGGAGCAAACAGGAUUAGAUACCCUGGUAGUCCACGCCGUAAACGAUGAGUGCUAGGUGUCGGGGGUUAAACCUCGGUGCCGGAGUUAACACAUUAAGCACUCCGCCUGGGGAGUACGUUCGCAAGAAUGAA
rnacentral:rRNA from 1 species